rnacentral:rRNA from 1 species
UUCCAGGAAAAGCCUCUAAGCAUCAGGUAACAUCAAAUCGUACCCCAAACCGACACAGGUGGUCAGGUAGAGAAUACCAAGGCGCUUGAGAGAACUCGGGUGAAGGAACUAGGCAAAAUGGUGCCGUAACUUCGGGAGAAGGCACGCUGAUAUGUAGGUGAAGCGACUUGCUCGUGGAGCUGAAAUCAGUCGAAGAUACCAGCUGGCUGCAACUGUUUAUUAAAAACACAGCACUGUGCAAACACGAAAGUGGACGUAUACGGUGUGACGCCUGCCCGGUGCCGGAAGGUUAAUUGAUGGGGUUAGCGCAAGCGAAGCUCUUGAUCGAAGCCCCGGUAAACGGCGGCCGUAACAAUAACGGUCCUAAGGUAGCGAAAUUCCUUGUCGGGUAAGUUCCGACCUGCACGAAUGGCGUAAUGAUGGCCAGGCUGUCUCCACCCGAGACUCAGUGAAAUUGAACUCGCUGUGAAGAUACAGUGUACCCGCGGCAAGACGGAAAGACCCCGUGAACCUUUACUAUAGCUUGACACUGAACAUUGAGCCUUGAUGUGCAGGAUAGGUGGGAGGCUUUGAAGUGUGGACGCCAGUCUGCAUGGAGCCGACCUUGAAAUACCACCCUUUAAUGUUUGAUGUUCUAACGUUGACCCGUAAUCCGGGUUGCGGACAGUGUCUGGUGGGUAGUUUGACUGGGGCGGUCUCCUCCUAAAGAGUAACGGAGGAGCACGAAGGUUGGCUAAUCCUGGUCGGACAUCAGGAGGUUAGUGCAAUGGCAUAAGCCAGCUUGACUGCGAGCGUGACGGCGCGAGCAGGUGCGAAAGCAGGUCAUAGUGAUCCGGUGGUUCUGAAUGGAAGGGCCAUCGCUCAACGGAUAAAAGGUACUCCGGGGAUAACAGGCUGAUACCGCCCAAGAGUUCAUAUCGACGGCGGUGUUUGGCACCUCGAUGUCGGCUCAUCUCAUCCUGGGGCUGAAGUAGGUCCCAAGGGUAUGGCUGUUCGCCAUUUAAAGUGGUACGCGAGCUGGGUUUAGAACGUCGUGAGACAGUUCGGUCCCUAUCUGCCGUGGGCGCUGGAGAACUGAGGGGGGCUGCUCCUAGUACGAGAGGACCGGAGUGGACGCAUCACUGGUGUUCGGGUUGUCAUGCCAAUGGCACUGCCUGGUAGCUAAAUGCGGAAGAGAUAAGUGCUGAAAGCAUCUAAGCACGAAACUUGCCCCGAGAUGAGUUCUCCCUGACUCCUUGAGAGUCCUGAAGGAACGUUGAAGACGACGACGUUGAUAGGCCGGGUGUGUAAGCGCAGCGAUGCGUUGAGCUAACCGGUACUAAUGAACCGUGAGGCUUAACC